rnacentral:lncRNA from 10 species
AAGACAAGGGGCAGAGGCAGAGAGAGAGAGAGGAGCCACCCUGAGAAGGAAGAGACCAGGAUCACACCUGGAUGAACUAUCACUUUCAAAUGACCUUGUCUUUUCUCGGGCCUUCUGAACUGAUCAUCUCUUCCUUCUGAUACAAGAGGAUCUUCCCUGGAAGACCACUGCACACCUUCUAGUAACACUGCGACCCUGGAUAAUAUUCUACUUUGAAGAACACCAGUAGACCGAAGCAAGAUGACUAAUUUUUAAUGCCAAAGUAUGCAAAACCUGCCACUUCACUGGCAAGCCAUGAAUUAUUCAUAAAUAUAGACUUGGUUAAUAUCUUUAAAAAUGCA